UUAAGUUAUUAAGGGCGCACGGUGGAUGCCUUGGCACUAGAAGCCGAUGAAGGACGUUACUAACGACGAUAUGCUUUGGGGAGCUGUAAGUAAGCUUUGAUCCAGAGAUUUCCGAAUGGGGAAACCCAGCAUGAGUUAUGUCAUGUUAUCGAUAUGUGAAUACAUAGCAUAUCAGAAGGCACACCCGGAGAACUGAAACAUCUUAGUACCCGGAGGAAGAGAAAGAAAAUUCGAUUCCCUUAGUAGCGGCGAGCGAAACGGGAAGAGCCCAAACCAACAAGCUUGCUUGUUGGGGUUGUAGGACACUCUAUACGGAGUUACAAAGGACGACAUUAGACGAAUCAUCUGGAAAGAUGAAUCAAAGAAGGUAAUAAUCCUGUAGUCGAAAAUGUUGUCUCUCUUGAGUGGAUCCUGAGUACGACGGAGCACGUGAAAUUCCGUCGGAAUCUGGGAGGACCAUCUCCUAAGGCUAAAUACUCUCUAGUGACCGAUAGUGAACCAGUACCGUGAGGGAAAGGUGAAAAGCACCCCGGAAGGGGAGUGAAAUAGAACCUGAAACCGUGUGCUUACAAGUAGUCAGAGCCCGUUAAUGGGUGAUGGCGUGCCUUUUGUAGAAUGAACCGGCGAGUUACGAUUUGAUGCAAGGUUAAGCAGUAAAUGUGGAGCCGUAGCGAAAGCGAGUCUGAAUAGGGCGUUUAGUAUUUGGUCGUAGACCCGAAACCAGGUGAUCUACCCUUGGUCAGGUUGAAGUUCAGGUAACACUGAAUGGAGGACCGAACCGACUUACGUUGAAAAGUGAGCGGAUGAACUGAGGGUAGCGGAGAAAUUCCAAUCGAACCUGGAGAUAGCUGGUUCUCUCCGAAAUAGCUUUAGGGCUAGCCUCAAGUGAUGAUUAUUGGAGGUAGAGCACUGUUUGGACGAGGGGCCCCUCUCGGGUUACCGAAUUCAGACAAACUCCGAAUGCCAAUUAAUUUAACUUGGGAGUCAGAACAUGGGUGAUAAGGUCCGUGUUCGAAAGGGAAACAGCCCAGACCACCAGCUAAGGUCCCAAAAUAUAUGUUAAGUGGAAAAGGAUGUGGCGUUGCCCAGACAACUAGGAUGUUGGCUUAGAAGCAGCCAUCAUUUAAAGAGUGCGUAAUAGCUCACUAGUCGAGUGACACUGCGCCGAAAAUGUACCGGGGCUAAACAUAUUACCGAAGCUGUGGAUUGUCCUUUGGACAAUGGUAGGAGAGCGUUCUAAGGGCGUUGAAGCAUGAUCGUAAGGACAUGUGGAGCGCUUAGAAGUGAGAAUGCCGGUGUGAGUAGCGAAAGACGGGUGAGAAUCCCGUCCACCGAUUGACUAAGGUUUCCAGAGGAAGGCUCGUCCGCUCUGGGUUAGUCGGGUCCUAAGCUGAGGCCGACAGGCGUAGGCGAUGGAUAACAGGUUGAUAUUCCUGUACCACCUAUAAUCGUUUUAAUCGAUGGGGGGACGCAGUAGGAUAGGCGAAGCGUGCGAUUGGAUUGCACGUCUAAGCAGUAAGGCUGAGUAUUAGGCAAAUCCGGUACUCGUUAAGGCUGAGCUGUGAUGGGGAGAAGACAUUGUGUCUUCGAGUCGUUGAUUUCACACUGCCGAGAAAAGCCUCUAGAUAGAAAAUAGGUGCCCGUACCGCAAACCGACACAGGUAGUCAAGAUGAGAAUUCUAAGGUGAGCGAGCGAACUCUCGUUAAGGAA
rnacentral:rRNA from 1 species